rnacentral:rRNA from 1 species
UAAUACGUAGGAUGCAAGCGUUGUCCGGAAUUAUUGGGCGUAAAGAGCGAGCAGGCGGUUCGACAAGUCAGAUGUAAAAUAUCCCGGCUUAACCGGGAGGGGCCAUUUGAAACUGUCGGACUAGAGUGGAGCAGAGGAUAGUGGAAUUCCCGGUGUAGUGGUGAAAUGCGUAGAUAUCGGGAGGAACACCAGUGGCGAAGGCGACUAUCUGGGCUUUAACUGACGCUGAGGCGCGAAGGCCGGGGGAGCAAACAGGAUUAGAUACCCUGGUAGUCCCGGCAGUAAACGAUGAACACUAGGUGUUGGGGGAAAUUGACCCCCUCAGUGCCACAGCCAACGCAAUAAGUGUUCCGCCUGGGGAGUACGGUCGCAAGAUUA